CUGAAAACCGGUCCCACUUUGUAUUACAUUACGUGGCAGGGAUUUAUUUCUCAAAGCCUAACACAUAAGCGGGGGGAAUCGUAGACGGUAAGCACAUUGCAUUGGCGGAUGGUCACUAAUCACGAUCACCGUAGCCCUAUUUUUUUUAUUCAUUUUUUGUUCUCACUUCAUCAUAGCCGCUGGUAUCGCGCCUCCAAGCAUGGUUAACGUUCUACUGUUCUAGCGAGACGAGUCCUUUUACCUUCCUUAAUUCGUCAUACAAAGACCGUUAGUUGUACUCGUAACUCGCUGCAACUAUUAAAAAAACAAUUCUUUAGUUUCGAUCGAUAGCAGGAAAGAAAAAAAAAAAAAAAGAACAAAAAACGAGAGCACUAGAAUUUUAUUCCCUGAGUGAAUCUCACAAAAAAAAGAUAGAUGUUGAAUUGCUCAGAGCUGUGGAUAUGAAAGAAAAGAACGCUAUCUCUCCACUUAGGCGCAUUUUAGUGAAUUGUACGGCACAGGCGAAAGAAUAUGGGGCCUGUGUUGCAGCUAAAGUUCCAGAAGUUGAACGUGAUAUGUGUUUGAAAGAAUUUCUUGCACUAAAGACUUGCAUGCAGAAUACGCUCCGGAGAAAAGUUUAAUAUUUGUAGCCUUGAAGGAAGUUGUUUGAUAUUUGUAUAAGACGUGUUAUUAUCUCCAGCAAUUUGGGUUUUGAGGUUUAAAACUUGACAUAACAUUGGGAAAAUG